CAACAAGUACCGUAAGGAAAGUUGAAA
rnacentral:piRNA from 1 species